AACGAACGCUGGCGGCAGGCUUAACACAUGCAAGUCGAGCGCCCCGCAAGGGGAGCGGCAGACGGGUGAGUAACGCGUGGGAAUCUACCCAGUUCUACGGAAUAACCCAGGGAAACUUGGACUAAUACCGUAUACGCCCUACGGGGGAAAGAUUUAUCGGAAUUGGAUGAGCCCGCGUUGGAUUAGCUAGUUGGUGGGGUAAUGGCCUACCAAGGCGACGAUCCAUGGCUGGUCUGGGAGGAUGAUCAGCCACACGGGGACUGAGACACGGCCCAGACUCCUACGGGAGGCAGCAGUGGGGAAUAUUGGACAAUGGGAGAAAGCCUGAUCCAGCCAUGCCGCGUGAGUGAUGAAGGCCUUAGGGUUGUAAAGCUCUUUCAGUGGGGAAGAUAAUGACGGUACCCACAGAAGAAGCCCCGGCUAACUUCGUGCCAGCCGCCGCCGUAACAC
rnacentral:rRNA from 1 species